ensembl:misc_RNA Metazoa_SRP Metazoan signal recognition particle RNA
GCCGGGCGUGGUGGUGCAUGCCUGUAAUCCCAGCUACUCAGGAGGCUGAGGCAGGAGAAUCGCUUGAGCCCGGGAGACAGAGGUUGCAGUGAUCCAAGAUCAUGCCACUACACUUCAUCCUGGGCAACACAGCAAGACUCCGUCUCAA